rnacentral:rRNA from 1 species
GACGAACGCUGGCGGCGUGGAUUAGGCAUGCAAGUCGAACGGUAUCAUCCUUUCGGGGGUGAGAGAGUGGCGAACUGGUGAGUAACACGUAGGUUAUCUACCCUCAAGACGGGGACAACCCAGGGAAACUUGGGCUAAUACCGGAUGUGAGCAACUUUUAGUUGUUUGAAAGGUGGCGUAAGCUGUCGCUUGGGGAUGAGCCUGCGUCCUAUUAGUUAGUUGGUGAGGUAACGGCUCACCUAGGCAAUGAUAGGUAGGCGGCCUUAACGGGUGGUCGCCCACACUGGGAUUGAGAUACGGCCCAGACUCCUACGGGAGGCAGCAGUCGAGAAUAGUCUACAAUGGUCGGAAGACUGAUAGUGCGACGCCGCGUGAACGAUGAAUCCCUUCGGGGUGUAAAGUUCUUUUAUAUGUGAGCAGUGCUUCUUAUAUUAACAGUUAUGGGGAGAGAGAUAUUAGCAUAUGAAUAAGCAACGGCUAACUCCGUGCCAGCAGCCGCGGU